GGGGGCGAUAAGGCUUCGACAGGGCGGGUGAGAAAAGUAUAAAGCGUGUGGUUGAUGACAUGAAACCUUAAAACUGUCAAAAAAAUAAACGCAAAUAAUAACUACAAAACUGUUCAGGCUGCUGCCUAACAGCGCCCAGGUUGUUUAAGCCACUCGAAAUAACUAGGGUGUCAAACAAGAGUGGAACCUCACUUUAAAAGCGCCUUUUGUUUAAAGUGAACAAAUGUAAAGGCUGGAAAAUUUAAGUUUGUUUGUGGAAGUAAAUUUUCAAGAUUAAACACAAACUGCACACGGAGAAAGGCUUUUCAAUCGUGUUCUGGACGUGGGUUCAAUUCCCACCGUCUCCACCA
rnacentral:tmRNA from 1 species